GUGGGGAAUUUUGGACAAUGGGCGCAAGCCUGAUCCAGCGACGCCGCGUGAGUGAUGAAGGCCUUCGGGUCGUAAAGCUCUGUUGCAGGGGAAUAAAAAAAUGAAGGUACCCUGUGAGGAAGGAUCGGCUAACUUCGUGCCAGCAGCCGCGGUAAGACGAGGGAUCCUAGCGUUGCUCGGAAUCAUUGGGCGUAAAGAGGGCGUAGGUGGCUUGGUAAGUCAGGUGUGAAAGCCCAGGGCUCAACCCUGGAAGUGCAUUUGAUACUGCUGAGCUUGAGUGUCGGAGAGGUUACCGGAAUACCUGGUGUAGUGGUGAAAUACGUAGAUAUCAGGUGGAACACCGGAGGCGAAGGCGGGUAACUGGACGAACACUGACACUGAGGCCCGAAAGCGUGGGGACCAAACAGGAUUAGAAACCCGAGUAGUCC
rnacentral:rRNA from 1 species